rnacentral:lncRNA from 1 species
AUAGUACGGUAAACAAAAUGUAUAGUGGAAAAUAAUUUAUUUUUCAUGUGUAGUAUCUUUCUUUUCUUUUUUUUCACAAUAGGAUGCACAGCCUAAUCUCUAUGGAGAACUAGAAAACCGCAACAAGUGUUCAACGUGUAAAAUAACGUAGCAACGUCCAUACUGAAACAAUUCCCUAUUGAUCAGUAGUGAAUUGUAAAUAAUUGGGGGGGGGGAGGGUGUUAUGCAGGGCUUGUGUUAUUGCACUAGAGGCGGGCAGUGGAAGGGUGGGGAAUGCCAUUUAAAGUCAGUGACUGUUGACAGGAAUGCGCGUCCCCUGCGUUCCGCUGGUCUGCUUUAUUUUUAACACUUUGGGUGGGUCAAACAGCGGCUGAGGAGAAUGAGCGCCCUGCGCACUCCUUGCCCCUGCUGCAGCUCUCCCCCACCGUGACCUAGACCUCAGCGCCUCUCAUGGGAUCAUUAUUGCCCUUCAAAUAACGGACUUUAUUCUAAAGACAUCGACAAAGAAGCGUGUCAUUCUCCAGGACUGUUUUUCAGUUGUAGUGACAAGUGCUUAUGAUAAGUGCAGCGACCUGUUGAGCACUGAGCCCUGUGUGAUCAGUACACAUAAACAACCCUUUGAGGAAACACUGGAUACAAACCAAUGCAAAUAUGUAAGAACUGUUCUUUUUUUUACAUACCUGUAAUUAUCUGCUUUUCACUAUGAGAACUUGAGAAAUAUGAUGGUUAAAUUCUCUUAAUUUGACUCUGUGAGCAACUCUGAGGUCCAAGCUGGUCAUUAGCUGAGUCAAUCUUGUCCAAACUGGUGGACCACAUUGGAGCAGAAACAAACCAGCUUGUUAAAUGUUUAAGGCAGUCAAUCUGGAUUUUGGAACAUAGAUCAGUUUGGCCACCUAGAAACUAGUCACCAUGUUCCAACAGUUACAGCUAUCAGCUGGACUUUCCAACAGAGGAUCAACACACUUUUAGCUGGUCUCUUUGUUUCUCACUGAAUAAACAGAAGAAAGCUAUUUCACAGUAUUAGUAAAAGAAAAACAGCUGUCACUAAGCCUUUGAAUAAAAAAAAAAAAUCUGUGAGCUGAUUCAAGCUCACCUUAUAGGGAUAACCAUUACUUACUGCCCAGAACUUUAUAAUAUGACCAUAAAGUUCACUCCAGGAAUAGUUUGUGUUAUUCUGUCUGAUAAUUGUAUGCUCUACUUGCCUGAACUGAACUUACUGCAUCUUUAACAGAACAGUUUAUUCAAGCAUUAAAAUCAUGUCAGCCUUUUUUUUUCAUUGCAUGGAAAGGAGCAGCGUGAACAUUCCUUGAAACAUCUCUUUUUGUGUUUUAUCGAAGAAAGAAAGUCACGCUGGUUUGGUAGACAUUAGUGUGAAUAACUAAUGGCAGAAUUUCAGUUUCAGGGUAAACUUAUGUCUUCAAGGUGAUGUUUAUACCCACAAUUUACUUUAAUUUAAUUUAAAACACAGAAUACUUUAGUGCCAUAGUAGCUGUUCCUAUAGUAACAUGGCACACACAGUGCGUCAUAAUUCAUACCACACCUAAGUGUGGCCUCUCCCAUCACACAUGUAAGAAAUAACCCACUGUGUCAGCUUCCAGGACAGUAGAUAGCCGCCCUCUCAGCUUUGGUUGCAGAAUUUGAGAGUAAACACACUGUGACAUUAUCAUGGCUGUGUUAAAUAUUAUUAGCUAGAGAUACUGUACAGCUCAAAGUAUUUCAGUUACAGUUUUUAUUUUACAGUUACUGCCAAACAGGCUAUAAUGUAAUUUUAAUAUCCUAGAAAUGUUCAGAUUUAAUAAUCUAGCAUUUGUAGAUUUAUAAACAUUUAAAUAGUUCACACAAAAAAUAGUAAAAAAAAAAAAAAAAGUAAAAUAGACACAACUAGUCAAAUAAGUAUUUACUUAGAAACAAAAAUGUAAAAANAAAAAAAAAAAAAAAAGUAAUAGCACAACUGCAAAUGAUUUUCAGAGAGUAUGAUUUUCAGGGAACAAAAAAAAUAAUUUUGGUCUGUUACCCACACAAAGCACAUGGCUUGAGAAAACAAAUCAUAAGGAUAAUUUUUGGAGCUUGACAGCUUGGUUACUGUAUAUUUACAUUGUAUGGAAAAGAGCAGCAUCAAUAUUCUUCAAACUUUCUUCUUUUGUGUUCUAUAGAAGAAAGAACGUCACACAGGUUUGAAAUGACAUUAUGACAUGAUUUUCUUUUU